AGCAAUCUGCCUUUCAGAGGGGGAUACCGAUUGGAAACGAUCGUUAAUACCGCAUAAUAUAAUUGAACCGCAUGAUUUGAUUAUCAAAGAUUUAUCGCUGAAAGAUGAGCUCGCGUCUGAUUAGCUAGUUGGUAAGGUAACGGCUUACCAAGGCGACGAUCAGUAGCCGGACUGAGAGGUUGAUCGGCCACAUUGGGACUGAGACACGGCCCAGACUCCUACGGGAGGCAGCAGUGGGGAAUAUUGCACAAUGGAGGAAACUCUGAUGCAGCGAUGCCGCGUGAGGGAAGAAGGUUUUAGGAUUGUAAACCUCUGUCUUCAGGGACG
rnacentral:rRNA from 1 species